CCUACGGGUGGCAGCAGUGAGGAAUAUUGGUCAAUGGGCUUACGCCUGAACCAGCCAAGUCGCGUGAGGGAAGACUGCCCUAUGGGUUGUAAACCUCUUUUGUCAGGGAGCAACGCCGGCUACGUGUAGCCGGACUGAGAGUACCUGAAGAAAAAGCAUCGGCUAACUCCGUGCCAACAGCCGCGGUACUACGGAGGAUGCGAGCGUUAUCCGGAUUUAUUGGGUUUAAAGGGUGCGUAGGCGGACUGUCAAGUCAGCGGUAAAAUCGCGGGGCUCAACCCCGCUCCGCCGUUGAAACUGGGGUUCUUGAGUGGGCGAGAAGUAUGCGGAAUGCGUGGUGUAGCGGUGAAAUGCAUAGAUAUCACGCAGAACCCCGAUUGCGAAGGCAGCAUACCGGCGCCCAACUGACGCUGAGGCACGAAAGCGUGGGGAUCGAACAGGAUUAGAUACCCGUGUAGUC
rnacentral:rRNA from 1 species